rnacentral:tRNA from 1 species
GGGGGCAUCGCCAAGUCGGUAAGGCAACGGAUUUUGAUUCCGUGAUGCGUAGGUUCGAAUCCUGCUGCCCCUG